UAGGGAAUCUUCGGCAAUGGGGGGAACCCUGACCGAGCAACGCCGCGUGAGUGAAGAAGGUUUUCGGAUCGUAAAGCUCUGUUGUUAAGGAAGAACGAGUGUGAGAAUGGAAAGUUCAUGCUGUGACGGUACUUAACCAGAAAGGGACGGCUAACUACGUGCCAGCAGCCGCGGUAAUACGUAGGUCCCGAGCGUUGUCCGGAUUUAUUGGGCGUAAAGCGAGCGCAGGCGGUUAGAAAAGUCUGAAGUGAACGGCAGUGGCUCAACCAUUGUAGGCUUUGGAAACUGUUUGACUUGAGUGCAGACGGGGAGACUGGAAUUCCAUGUGUAGCGGUGAAAUGCGUAGAUAUAUGGAGGAACUCCGGUGGCGAGAGCGGCUCUCUGGUCUGUAACUGACGCUGAGGCUCGAAAGCGUGGGGAGCGAACAGG
rnacentral:rRNA from 1 species